rnacentral:rRNA from 1 species
UACGUAGGGUGCAAGCGUUAAUCGGAAUUACUGGGCGUAAAGCGUGCGCAGGCGGUUAUGUAAGACAGGUGUGAAAUCCCCGGGCUUAACCUGGGAACUGCAUUUGUGACUGCAUAGCUAGAGUACGGUAGAGGGGGAUGGAAUUCCGCGUGUAGCAGUGAAAUGCGUAGAUAUGUGGAGGAAUACCGAUGGCGAUGGCAGCCUCCUGGGCCAACACUGACGCUCAUGCACGAAAGCGUGGGGAGCAAACAGG